rnacentral:rRNA from 1 species
UACGUAGGGCGCAAGCGUUAUCCGGAAUUAUUGGGCGUAAAGAGCUCGUAGGCGGUUUGUUGCGUCUAUCGUGAAAACCUGCAGCUUAACUGUGGGCUUGCGGUGGAUACGGGCAGACUUGAGUUCGGUAGGGGAGACUGGAAUUCCUGGUGUAGCGGUGAAAUGCGCAGAUAUCAGGAGGAACACCGGUGGCGAAGGCGGGUCUCUGGGCCGAUACUGACGCUGAGGAGCGAAAGCGUGGGGAGCGAACAGG